GGGGUCAUCCCGACUUACCAACCCUUUGCAAACUCCGAAUACCAGUAAGUAAUAUCCGGGAGACACACGGCGGGUGCUAACGUCCGUCGUGAAGAGGGAAACAACCCAGACCGCCAGCUAAGGUCCCAAAGUUAUAGCUAAGUGGGAAACGAUGUGGGAAGGCUCAGACAGCAGGAUGUUGGCUUAGAAGCAGCCAUCAUUUAAAGAAAGCGUAAUAGCUCACUGGUCGAGUCGGCCUGCGCGGAAGAUUUAACGGGGCUAAGCUAUACACCGAAGCUGCGGCAAUAUGAACUUGUUCAUAUUGGGUAGGGGAGCGUUCUGUAAGCCGUUGAAGGUGCAUUGUAAAGUGUGCUGGAGGUAUCAGAAGUGCGAAUGCUGACAUGAGUAACGAUAAAGGGAGUGAAAAACUCCCUCGCCGGAAGAUCAAGGGUUCCUGUCCAACGUUAAUCGGGGCAGGGUAAGUCGACCCCUAAGGCGAGGCCGAAAGGCGUAGUCGAUGGGAAACGGGUUAAUAUUCCCGUACUUCUUAUAAUUGCGAUGGAGGGACGGAGAAGGCUAGGUGAGCCUGGCGACGGUUGUCCAGGUCCAAGUAUGUAGGCUGAUG
rnacentral:rRNA from 1 species